UCUCCAAGCUUCACGUGUAAAAUCCAACAGUGUGAAGCACAUAGCAGCCAGAAACUGUAAUGCCACAGAUCAGAGAGGCUUCAUCAUCACCAUCUUCAUCGCCGUACAAUCCGAGCGUGAGACUUCACAUCUGGAGCACAGGAGAGAUUCUGUGAUAAGUCUUCCUUCUAGCUUGUCCCACAAGCAGUCGAGCUGAGACACUCAGGACUGAACAGACUGCACAGCUUCUGUGACUGCGCCUCCAAAACACCUUCUUUGAAACCACACAUGAUAGAAGGGCUUUAUAUUUGCAGCAGCACUACUAAAGUCGGCAGGAAUGUUGCUGCAGGAAAACAUCCCUGGAGAUCACCAUCAUUGUCAGACUGACUGUGCCUCCUCUGUGCAGUGUCAAGAUCCUCCCUAAAUGAGUGUUCCUCAGCUAUCCUGCUUCUGUGCUGCUUGCCACACAUCAAACACUGGCCGGAUGACAGGGAGGAUCCACUCUGAAGUCACUGGACAUGAUGAGGAUCAUAUGGGACUUUAUAGUUUCACAGAAACGUUGUGCUCUUUGAUUACAGGUUUUAAAUGGACAUAAUGACUGCGUCUCUCUGAUCAACAGGCUGAAGGAUUCUUUUCAUUGUUAAUGCUCUGUACAAUGUAUGCUUAUUUAAUAUUUCAUCACAGAGCAAACCUUAAUUUAUUUAUUUAACAUAUUUUUAUUUUGUUUUAAUGUUGAAUUAACUGUGGCGAUUGUUUUAAGUGGACACUUGGGAUGUCAUAUGACCAGAAAUGUGGUAACUGAAAUUCUACAUUAUGUAAAAAAAAUCUGCUAAGAACGAAACACACACAAAAAACCCCAAGAGAACUCAAAUUCAUUCCAUGUAAUCCAAUCUAAAACAUUUUAAACUGCUGAAAAGCAACACAAACAGUGUUAAAAAACAGUGUUAACAGAAUGAUUAUGAUGAGUUUGUACCAAAGUUUCAGGUCACAUGGCACACCUAGUGUGUAGUGUGGGGUAUCAGCUGGUAAGUAUAGGUUUUUUCAUAUUUGUGUCCUUAGAGUUCAGAUAGAUAAA